rnacentral:rRNA from 1 species
UUUAAACCUCUUCCAGAGUAUCAAUUGGAGGGCAAGUCUGGUGCCAGCAGCCGCGGUAAUUCCAGCUCCAAUAGCGUAUAUUAAAAUUGUUGCAGUUAAAAAGCUCGUAGUUGAAUUUCUGCCGCAUCGCGGCGGCCCUCCCGGGCCCAGCGUUGCGGCUUAUUUCGGACUCGCUUGCGUCUCCGAAUGUUUACUUUGAGAAAAUUAGAGUGCUCAAAGCAGGCCCUUGCCUUGAAUACUUUAGCAUGGAAUAAUAAAGUAGGACUUUGGUUCUAUUUUGUUGGUUUAGCGCCAAAGUAAUGGUUAAUAGGAACAGUUGGGGGCAUUCGUAUUUAACUGUCAGAGGUGAAAUUCUUAGAUUUGUUAAAGACGAACCACUGCGAAAGCAUUUGCCAAGGAUGUUUUCAUUAAUCAAGAACGAAAGUUAGGGGAUCGAAGACGAUCAGAUACCGUCGUAGUCCUAACCAUAAACCAUGCCGACUAGAGAUUGGAGGUCGUCAGUUUUUACGACUCCUUCAGCACCUUGAGAGAAAUCAAAGUAAUGGGGUUCUGGGGGGAGUAUGGUCGCAAGGCUGAAACU